rnacentral:rRNA from 1 species
GACGAACGCUGGCGGCGGGCUUAACACAUGCAAGUCGAACGGUAAGGCCCUUCGGGGUACACGAGUGGCGAACGGGUGAGUAACACGUGGGUGAUCUGCCCUGCACUUCGGGAUAAGCCUGGGAAACUGGGUCUAAUACCGGAUAGGACCACUGCCUGCAUGGGUGGUGGUGGAAAGCUUUUGCGGUGUGGGAUGGGCCCGCGGCCUAUCAGCUUGUUGGGGGGGUGAUGGCCUACCAAGGCGACGACGGGUAGCCGGCCUGAGAGGGUGACCGGCCACACUGGGACUGAGAUACGGCCCAGACUCCUACGGGAGGCAGCAGUGGGGAAUAUUGCACAAUGGGCGCAAGCCUGAUGCAGCGACGCCGCGUGAGGGAUGACGGCCUUCGGGUUGUAAACCUCUUUCAGCACCGACGAAGCGCAAGUGACGGUAGGUGCAGAAGAAGGACCGGCCAACUACGUGCCAGCUGCCGCCGUAA